rnacentral:rRNA from 1 species
CACUCCUACGGGAGGCAGCAGUGGGGAAUUUUGGACAAUGGGCGAAAGCCUGAUCCAGCAAUGCCGCGUGAGUGAAGAAGGCCUUCGGGUUGUAAAGCUCUUUUGUCAGGGAAGAAACGGUGAGAGCUAAUAUCUCUUGCUAAUGACGGUACCUGAAGAAUAAGCACCGGCUAACUACGUGCCAGCAGCCGCGGUAAUACGUAGGGUGCAAGCGUUAAUCGGAAUUACUGGGCGUAAAGCGUGCGCAGGCGGUUUUGUAAGUCUGAUGUGAAAUCCCCGGGCUCAACCUGGGAAUUGCAUUGGAGACUGCAAGGCUAGAAUCUGGCAGAGGGGGGUAGAAUUCCACGUGUAGCAGUGAAAUGCGUAGAUAUGUGGAGGAACACCGAUGGCGAAGGCAGCCCCCUGGGUCAAGAUUGACGCUCAUGCACGAAAGCGUGGGGAGCAAACAGGAUUAGAUACCCUUGUAGUCCCAUG